UACAUCGGUGACAGGUGGUGCAUGGUUGUCGUCAGCUCGUGUCGUGAGAUGUUGGGUUAAGUCCCGCAACGAGCGCAACCCCUAUUGUAGUUGCCAUCAUUCAGUUGGGCACUCUAGCGAGACUGCCGGUAAUAAACCGGAGGAAGGUGGGGAUGACGUCAAAUCAUCAUGCCCCUUAUGACCUGGGCUACACACGUGCUACAAUGGUUGGUACAACGAGUUGCGAGUCGGUGACGGCGAGCUAAUCUCUUAAAGCCAAUCUCAGUUCGGAUUGUAGGCUGCAACUCGCCUACAUGAAGUCGGAAUCGCUAGUAAUCGCGGAUCAGCACGCCGCGGUGAAUACGUUCCCGGGCCUU
rnacentral:rRNA from 1 species